UACGAAGGGGGCUAGCGUUGCUCGGAAUCACUGGGCGUAAAGGGUGCGUAGACGGGUCUUUAAGUCAGGGGUGAAAUCCUGGAGCUCAACUCCAGAACUGCCUUUGAUACUGAGGAUCUUGAGUUCGGGAGAGGUGAGUGGAACUGCGAGUGUAGAGGUGAAAUUCGUAGAUAUUCGCAAGAACACCAGUGGCGAAGGCGGCUCACUGGCCCGAUACUGGCGCUGAGGCACGAAAGCGUGGGGAGCAAACAGG
rnacentral:rRNA from 1 species